UCUCAGAGUCUGCUUUUUUAACCUGAAAUCCAUCAUCAACUUGGCGAUGUCUGCUAACAACAAUUCUCAUUUGAUAAUUAGCCCAGCGUCAACCAAUCAUGUUUUGCCUUAUUUCAGCGCUCGAAAAUGCUCUAGUUGGGAGUCAAAAUUACGUUCUGGCUGUGGAAAUGAUUUAA